CAGCCGCCGCGGGAAUACGAAGGGUGCAAGCGUUAAUCGGAAUUACUGGGCGUAAAGCGUGCGUAGGUGGUGGUUUAAGUCCGUUGUGAAAGCCCUGGGCUCAACCUGGGAAUCGCAGUGGAUACUGGGUCACUAGAGUGUGGUAGAGGAUAGUGGAAUUUCCGGUGUAGCAGUGAAAUGCGUAGAGAUCGGAAGAAACAUCUGUGGCGAAGGCGACUAUCUGGGCCAACACUGACACUGAGGCACGAAAGCGUGGGGAGCAAACAGGAUUAGAGACCCGAGUAGUCCCUGUCUCUUAUAC
rnacentral:rRNA from 1 species